rnacentral:lncRNA from 1 species
CAUCAGGACACAAAAUAACCCGUUUUCACUUAAUUCCUAUGCACAUCUUCUGAGACGUUAUGGAAAUGAGUGAGUAUUUUCAUUACACCAAGUAAAGGUAAAGCAGCACAAAAAAGUUCACAAACGCGAGGCUUUGUGUUCAAAUAAAGGACCGUGCCAUAAAUUUCCUGUCCUCGACUUGCCCCAAAAGCAUCACACUCGCUGUGCGGGAUAAAAAGACAAUUAAAAGCAAAAUAAUAAUAAUAAAAUCCCAGAAUAAAGCAUCAAACCUUCACUUUCAAAUCCCAAACUGAAACACAGGACAGUUUCAUUUUCAAUGAUUUAUUACUUUUUAUGGACAGAAGGUCUCGUUUAAGACUUUCCCAAUUCCUACUGCCUGUAUGAUGCUUUUUUUCCCCCCUUUCUUUCUGUGCUAGCGAGAGGCAAAUAAAAUAAAGUCCGGAGUAGCGUCAUUCAGUCUCCUUUGUACCACAGUACCUUACGGAGAGAUGGCAGUUUCUCGAGUCCUUGGCUGCUACACGCAGGUUCUGCUUGGAUAGUGUCACUUAUGUACAGUACUGGUCAGAAUCGAAGGAUGAAAUGGAAAAUUUCACCUCUUCUAUAAAGUUGUCAAGUCAGUCUGAUGGUCCUUGGGAACAGUCUGUAAGUGGGGGUUAGAAGCGGAGGAGGAAGACCUGCCCUUAGUGUUGGGCAGUUUGUGGUCUUUUUUCCACUUCAUUCUUCUGUUCUGAAACCAGAUCUUGAUCUGGCGCUCAGAGAGACACAAAGUGUGCGCUAUCUCGAUACGGCGGCGCCGGGUCAGGUACCUGUUAAAAUGAAAUUCUUUUUCCAGUUCUAGGACUUGCUGCCUGGUGUAAGCUGUUCGGGAGCGCUUAGGUUCCCCUCCGCUGUAAUUGGGGUUCACUGGGAAAGAAACACGGAGAACUUUACAGACCGAAGGGGGACUUUCCGCCUCGCCUUCCCACGCGGCCCCAGGAGCGCUCCGGCGGUGCCCGGCGCGGCCGUUCCGCGGGGCCGGCUCCUACCGCGGUUCCUGCGCGGAAGAGCCCCGCACGCCGACGGCCUAUUUCCUCGGCAAUAAAAAUUUACGACGAGUGUAAUUGGCCGCCUCGCCUUAAAGCCUCGCCAGGGCUCGAGCGAGCAUCCCUGAGGACACACGCGGGAGCGGGGUAGAAGAGCAAAGUAAGAAGAGGAUCCUUACCCGAGUUAACAUGGACUUUCUUCAUCCAGGGAUAAACUACUGCUGGCUGCUUAACUGCUGACCCGUGGGGGGCUUUGAGGGCUGGCUGCUGGCCGCAGGCUCGGGAGUUGGACAUUGGAGGCGGAGGACAAUGCUCGGCUUGGCCGGGGAAGUGGCUCGGAGGGGCGGACUGCUCCUGUCCGUGACCCCGCGGCUGCACGGCGGAGCCCUGGGCACCGGCGCAGCCAAAGGGCUGCUCGCUGUAGUUUGACCGUGGGUAGAGCCCCUGGUGCUGGAAAUCGGAGCCCUGCGAGGCCCCGUAAUACUCGGCCCCCUGCUCGCCUAGGUAGCUGCUCUGCAAAUAUUCCUCGCAAGGAGGAAAUUUGGGAUCCACAUACUUAGAGUUCACCAUAUACGAACUCAUGGCCAUUAAUUUCGGAAGGUAGAAAAUACUAAUUUUUCUCGUGUUGUCUUUUUUUCUCCUUCCAUAGAGCCCUCCUACUUGCUGUCAACUGAAUAAAGUUAGGCGUGCAUGUGACCGGCCCGGCCAAUGGGGAGGCGGGGAGCCGAUCACCGGAUUUGUGUGCGCCUCAGAAUUUCCACGAAUUUAACUAAAUAAUAUACGCGGAGCUGAGCGACCCCUCCGCGGCGGGCUUCGCCCUCCGGGGCCGAUCCCGGAGUUUUGGGGCCAUUCCCCGCGUGCGGCCGCCUCCCUGCCCCCAGGUGCGGGCAGCCUUUGUCUGAGCAGAGCCCUCACCUCCCCCUCACCCCCCCACCCCUCCGCCCCAUCCGCCGGGCGGGAUGGCCGCCGGGCUCCGAUACGAAUAAAAUCUCGAGAGAGAUGCGGGGCGAGGAGUCGGAGCGGGACGUGGAGGGAGGGAACCGAUAAGGAGGCGAGGAAAAGAAAAGACAUCAAAGAAGAGGGCAAUAUGAUGUACAAUAGAUCUGUCCUGUCUUUGUCUCGCAGAGGUCAUCCAAAAGUUACCAGAAUUUCGUUCUGCUGAAUAAAAUUAGGCAAUCAGUAACUUCUCAUUCACUUCGCGACCUCAACACGUACGUGUGCACACGUGGGCACGCACGCUCGCUCGCACACUCACAUACAAAAUCUGCGCGUGUGUGUGCAUGAAAGCGUCCAGAUAACGAGAAACCGUCCACUUUUGGCCGCUAAAGUUCAGCCAAUUGCACUGAGACGGCUUCUAAUUGGGUUACAAACAUCACGGGUUUCAAGAGAGAAAUUCGGUCUUCGCCCAUCAACAUCCUUCCUGGAGCGCAAGGAAAUACGUCCCAGUGAGCCGAGCGCUGCUUUCGCCGCUGUCGUAAAUAUUUGGAUCUCCUGAGAUGACCCGUUUAAAUGCACGGUCUGCCAGCGGGAGGUAGGGCUGAACGACCAGGGGAAUUCUCAGAGACCUUCUAAAAUCUGCUUAAUGGGAGAGAGGAGGCAAAACUUUGGGGCUUUCUCCGUGUUCAACACGCACACGUCUUUUGGUUCCGUCAGUGCCCAAAGCCCUGACCGUCUGCAGAAAGGUGAAGUUUUU